UGGGGAAUAUUGGACAAUGGGCGAAAGCCUGAUCCAGCCAUGCCGCGUGUGUGAAGAAGGUCUUCGGAUUGUAAAGCACUUUAAGUUGGGAGGAAGGGCAUUAACCUAAUACGUUAGUGUUUUGACGUUACCGACAGAAUAAGCACCGGCUAACUCUGUGCCAGCAGCAGCGGUAAUACAGAGGGUGCAAGCGUUAAUCGGAAUUACUGGGCGUAAAGUGCGCGUAGGUGGUUUGUUAAGUUGGAUGUGAAAUCCCCGGGCUCAACCUGGGAACUGCAUUCAAAACUGACUGACUAGAGUAUGGUAGAGGGUGGUGGAAUUUCCUGUGUAGCGGUGAAAUGCGUAGAUAUAGGAAGGAACACCAGUGGCGAAGGCGACCACCUGGACUAAUACUGACACUGAGGUGCGAAAGCGUGGGGAGCAAACA
rnacentral:rRNA from 1 species